AGAGUUUGAUUAUGGCUCAGAACGUACGCUGGCGGCACGCCUAACACAUGCAAGUCGAACGAAGUAGCAAUACUUAGUGGCAGACGGGUGAGUAACAUGUAGGUAUCUGCCCUUUGGCCUGGAAUAACACGAGGAAACUUGUGCUAAUACCGGAUAAGUCUUUACGGAGAAAGCUUUAUGCACCAUUGGAUGAGCCUGCACUUGAUUAGUUUGUUGGUGGGGUAAUGGCCUACCAAGACUUUGAUCAAUAGCUGAUUUGAGAGGAUGAUCAGCCACAUUGGGACUGAGACACGGCCCAAACUCCUACGGGAGGCAGCAGUGGGGAAUCUUGCACAAUGGAGGAAACUCUGAUGCAGCGAUGCCGCGUGAGUGAAGAAGGCCCUUGGGUUGUAAAGCUCUUUCGUCGGGGAAGAAAAUGACUGUACCCGAAUAAGAAGGUCCGGCUAACUUCGUGCCAGCAGCCGCGGUAAUACGAAGGGACCUAGCGUAGUUCGGAAUUACUGGGCUUAAAGAGUUCGUAGGUGGUUGAAAUAGUUGGUGGUGAAAUCCCAGAGCUUAACUCUGGAACUGCCAUCAAAACUUUUCAGCUAGAGUAUGAUAGAGGAAAGCAGAAUUUCUAGUGUAGAGGUGAAAUUCGUAGAUAUUAGAAAGAAUACCAAUUGCGAAGGCAGCUUUCUGGAUCAUUACUGACACUGAGGAACGAAAGCAUGGGUAGCGAAGAGGAUUAGAUACCCUCGUAGUCCAUGCCGUAAACGAUGUGUGUUAGACGUUGGAAAUUUAUUUUCAGUGUCGCAGCGAAAGCGAUAAACACACCGCCUGGGGAGUACGACCGCAAGGUUAAAACUCAAAUGAAUUGACGGGGACCCGCACAAGUAGUGGAGCAUGUGGUUUAAUUCGAAGAUACGCGCAGAACCUUACCAACACUUGACAUGUUCGUCGCGACUUUAAGAGAUUAAAGUUUUCGGUUCGGCCGGACGAAACACAGGUGCUGCAUGGCUGUCGUCAGCUCGUGUCGUGAGAUGUUGGGUUAAGUCCCGCAACGAGCGCAACCCUCACUUUUAGUUGCCAUCAUUUAGUUGGGCACUCUGAAAGAACUGCCAGUGAUAAGCUGGAGGAAGGUGGGGAUGACGUCAAGUCCUCAUGGCCCUUACGUGUUGGGCUACACACGUGCUACAAUGGUAUCUACAACAGGAAGCAAGACGGCGACGUUAAGCAAAUCCUUAAAAGAUACCUCAGUUCGGAUUGCACUCUGCAACUCGAGUGCAUGAAGCUGGAAUUACUAGUAAUCGUGGAUCAGCGUGCCACGGUGAAUGCGUUCCCGGGUCUUGUACACACCGCCCGUCACACCAUGGGAGUUGGUUCUACCUUAAGGCAAGGUUUUAAACCCUUGACCACGGUAUAGUCAGCGACUGGGGUGAAGUCGUAACAAGGUA
rnacentral:rRNA from 1 species